rnacentral:rRNA from 1 species
AGUGAACGCUGGCGGUAGGCCUAACACAUGCAAGUCGAACGGCAGCACAGUAAGAGCUUGCUCUUACGGGUGGCGAGUGGCGGACGGGUGAGGAAUACAUCGGAAUCUACUUUUUCGUGGGGGAUAACGUAGGGAAACUUACGCUAAUACCGCAUACGACCUACGGGUGAAAGCAGGGGAUCUUCGGACCUUGCGCGAUUGAAUGAGCCGAUGUCGGAUUAGCUAGUUGGCGGGGUAAAAGCCCACCAAGGCGACGAUCCGUAGCUGGUCUGAGAGGAUGAUCAGCCACACUGGAACUGAGACACGGUCCAGACUCCUACGGGAGGCAGCAGUGGGGAAUAUUGGACAAAGGGCGCAAGCCUGAUCCAGCCAUACCGCGUGGGUGAAGAAGGCCUUCGGGUUGUAAAGCCCUUUUGUUGGGAAAGAAAAGCAGCAGGUUAAUACCCCGCUGUUCUGACGUUACCCAAAGAAUAAGCACCGGCUAACUUCGUG